rnacentral:piRNA from 1 species
UGAUAGAGGCCGUGGUCUAGAGCCUGU